GAGCCCGUGGCUCAAUGGUAGAGCAAUCGACUCAAAUACCAAAGGUCGCGGGUUCGAAUCCCUAGGUUUU
rnacentral:tRNA from 1 species